GGCCCGUUGGUCAAGCGGUUAAGACACCGCCCUUUCACGGCGGUACCACGGGUUCGAGUCCCGUACGGGUCA
rnacentral:tRNA from 1 species